rnacentral:rRNA from 1 species
CAGUAGCCGCGGGAAUACGAAGGGUGCAAGCGUUACUCGGAAUUACUGGGCGUAAAGCGUGCGUAGGUGGUGGUUUAAGUCCGUUGUGAAAGCCCUGGGCUCAACCUGGGAAUUGCAGUGGAUACUGGGUCACUAGAGUGUGGUAGAGGAUAGUGGAAUUUCCGGUGUAGCAGUGAAAUGCGUAGAGAUCGGAAGGAACAUCUGUGGCGAAGGCGACUAUCUGGGUCAACACUGACACUGAGGCACGAAAGCGUGGGGAGCAAACAGGAUUAGAUACCCCAGUAGUCCCUGUCUCUUAUAC